AGCCCAUUGACCCCGGGAUAAUAGAUGAAAGUGUUUUCUCACUUGCCUUCCCCUCCUGACCCCUUGCCACCAUUUUUCAUGCACUGUCUCCUCUUCAGCCAGACGGAGGAAUUCUUCCUCUGAUGAUGAAGGCCCAAUGACCCUCUCCCGCAUCCCGGCCAGGUCACCAAGCACAUGGGGGCAGCAGAGCAAGUUGCAAAGUCUAUCCAGUGGAUGGCACAACUGCAAGGACCAUGGAUCAUCCAGCAAAGCCCAGGCUUGGUCUUACCAUUUGCUCCCUGAAUCUGUCAUGCAAUCAACAUGCUGGGUUGCUGGUGAGUACAAGAAAAUUAGGAUGACUGCGGAACAGACCUGAACCUACCUGAAGCCUCAGAGACGAGCUCAGCCUCGCCUCAGCCUGAAGCAGAACAGUCCUGGCUGACCCACAGGUAGA
rnacentral:lncRNA from 1 species